ACUUUCCGAAAAGGUAUCACAUG
rnacentral:snRNA from 1 species